UAGGGAAUCUUCGGCAAUGGGGGGAACCCUGACCGAGCAACGCCGCGUGAGUGAAGAAGGUUUUCGGAUCGUAAAGCUCUGUUGUUAAGGAAGAACGAGUGUGAGAAUGGAAAGUUCAUACUGUGACGGUACUUAACCAGAAAGGGACGGCUAACUACGUGCCAGCAGCCGCGGUAAUACGUAGGUCCCGAGCGUUGUCCGGAUUUAUUGGGCGUAAAGCGAGCGCAGGCGGUUAGAUAAGUCUGAAGUUAAAGGCAGUGGCUCAACCAUUGUAGGCUUUGGAAACUGUUUAACUUGAGUGCAGAAGGGGAGAGUGGAAUUCCAUGUGUAGCGGUGAAAUGCGUAGAUAUAUGGAGGAACACCGGUGGCGAAAGCGGCUCUCUGGUCUGUAACUGACGCUGAUGCUCGAAAGCGUGGGGAGCGAACAGG
rnacentral:rRNA from 1 species